CCUAGGAAACAGAUGCUAAUACCGGAUAACAACAGAUGAUGCCUAUCAACUGUUUAAAAGAUGGUUCUGCUAUCACUCUUGGAUGGACCUGCGGUGCAUUAGCUAGUUGGUAGGGUAACGGCCUACCAAGGCGAUGAUGCAUAGCCGAGUUGAGAGACUGAUCGGCCACAUUGGGACUGAGACACGGCCCAAACUCCUACGGGAGGCAGCAGCC
rnacentral:rRNA from 1 species